rnacentral:tRNA from 1 species
UCUUCAAUAGCUCAAUUGGCAGAGCAAAUGGCUGUUAACCAUUAGGUUGUUGGUUCAAAUCCAACUUGAAGAG